GACGAACGCUGGCGGCGUGCUUAACACAUGCAAGUCGAACGGAAAGGCCCUGCUUUUGUUGGGUGCUCGAGUGGCGAACGGGUGAGUAAUACGUGAGUAACCCGCCCUUGACUUUGGGAUAAAUUCAGGAAACUGGGGUUAAUAACGGAAAGGAGUUCCUGCUGCAUGGUGGGGGUUGGAAAGUUUCGGCGGUUGUGGAUGGGCGCGCGGUUUAUUAGUUUGUGGGGUGGGGAGUGGCUUACCCAGGGUUUGACGGGUAGCCGGACUGAGAGGGCGAACGGGGAAAUUGGGACGGGGAUACGGCACGGAGUCCUACAGGAGGAAGCAGGGGGGAAUAUUGGACGAUGGGCGGAAGCCUGAUGCAGAAACGCCGCGUGAGGGAUGAAGGCAUUAGGGUUGUAAACCGAUUUCAGCAGGGGCGAAGCUUGUGGUGACGGUACCUGCAGAAGAAGCACCGGCUAACUACGUG
rnacentral:rRNA from 1 species